rnacentral:rRNA from 1 species
AUUGAACGCUGGCGGCAGGCUUAACACAUGCAAGUCGAGCGAGCGGCGGACGGGUGAGUAAUGUCUGGGAAACUGCCUGAUGGAGGGGGAUAACUACUGGAAACGGUAGCUAAUACCGCAUACCAUCAGAUGUGCCCAGAUGGGAUUAGCUAGUAGGUGGGGUAAUGGCUCACCUAGGCGACGAUCCCUAGCUGGGCUGAGAGGAUGACCAGCCACACUGGAACUGAGACACGGUCCAGACGCCUACGGUAGGCAGCAGUGGGGAAUAUUGCACAAUGUGCGAAAGCCUGAUGCAGCCAUGCCGCGUGGGUGAAGAAGGCCUUCGGGUUGUAAAGCACUUUCAGCGAGGAGGCGUUACCCGCAGAAGAAGCACCGGCUAACUCCGUGCCAGCAGCCGCGGUAAUAC